AUGAACCAUCAGAAGAGAAAAGCAUUUUCAAAUAGACUGACCUUGGGUAGCACCGGGCUUCCAGGAAACUGGCCAGGGCAGAAAAGCGUCCCACGUCCGAGGAUCUUUCUGCUUUACCCUGUUGCUGUAGCGGAGGAUUCGUCCUACCUUUUUGGAAAAGCCUCUGGAUUUUCGAAAGAAAACUCUAAGCCAGAGAUGUUGCCCCGGAGGGGCAUUUACAUGCCCUCAAGAAGAUCAAGGACACCAAAAAAGUCCUGUAGGCAGAGAGAUCAAGAUAUCCCAAGUCGGUUCUGGGAGGAGGUGAAAGGAGGAGUCAAGACUCUACCUCAUGAUGUGUCUGCUUCUCUUUGAAAUAGAAGGAUGAAGAACAAGAUCACGCACCCAAGGAACAGAAUUUUAGAGUGGAGGGGCUUCUCCCGUGGGGCCACUCUGUGGACUAUUGUCACCAGGCCAGUAUUAGGAAGCAAUACUGGGAUAGCCUUCCUCUCCCUUCUUCUCGUGUCUUUGAAGUAAGCUACGAGUUUAGUUUGAGUUUGUAUUAUGUAACUACAUAACCUUGAAGAGAUGUUUUCAGAUAGAGAUAUUUGGAACAGAGAGUAUGUACACAUAUUUGCUAGAAAAACAUUUAAUAAUAUGUAUACACACAUGCAUACAAUAUGUACACAAAUACCUAUUGCUAUAUAUUUUGUAUAUAUGUUAUAUGUACAUAUAUAAUCUAUAGGAAUACAUUUAGUUUAACAUUCUUACUCAUUUGUUUCUUUCCAGAUCUGCAAACCCAGGUAAAGCCACUACCACAAUGCACCUGCUGGGUGGGAUGGACUGACUACAAGGCAGACCAGAAUAGCCAGUUUUGCCCCACCCUCCCUUAACUAACUGGAGGGCCCAAAGAAUCCAGGCAGAGGCAGAGGCAGGGGCCAGGCAUAACUCUUUGGCUCUUUAUCCAUCAAAGGGCUAAAAAGUCCAAAGCAGAGGCUGAGAAAGGGUAAAUAAAGGUUAACACCUUGAAAGUGAGGAGGAAAGG
rnacentral:lncRNA from 1 species